UACAGAGGUCUCAAGCGUUGUUCGGAUUCAUUGGGCGUAAAGGGUGCGUAGGCGGCGCGGUAAGUCGGGUGUGAAAUCUCGGGGCUUAACUCCGAAACUGCAUUCGAUACUGCCGUGCUUGAGGACUGGAGAGGAGAUUGGAAUUCACAGUGGAGCAGUGAAAUGCGUAGAUAUUGUGAGGAACACUAGUGGCGAAGGCGAAUCUCUGGACAGUUCCUGACGCUGAGGCACGAAGGCCAGGGGAGCAAACGGG
rnacentral:rRNA from 1 species